rnacentral:sRNA from 1 species
UAAACAGGGAAAUGGCACAUUCAGUCGUCGAAGUAUUCAAGAAAUGGAGAUGAUGUUGAGUGACGAUUUAGUGGUUACUGUACUUGCAGACACACCUAAUACAGUAGUACAUUCAGCUACUCCAGAAUAUCGAUCAUCCAUUAUCCAUCGUCCAUUUCCACCGUUACCAGAAAGUUUGGGUAGAUCUUCGCGUGUUACACGUUCUGACAAAGUUCGGAUGCAGUUGCGAGGCCAAGUUCAUCAACGGUUGUAUACAGAUGCAUUAAUCAAUG